rnacentral:rRNA from 1 species
AGUGAACGCUGGCGGUAGACCUAACACAUGCAAGUCGAACGGCAGCACAGUAAGAGCUUGCUCUUACGGGUGGCGAGUGGCGGACGGGUGAGGAAUACAUCGGAAUCUACUUUUUCGUAGGGGAUAACGUAGGGAAACUUACGCUAAUACCGCAUACGACCUACGGGUGAAAGCAGGGGAUCUUCGGACCUUGCGCGAUUGAAUGAGCCGAUGUCGGAUUAGCUAGUUGGCGGGGUAAAGGCCCACCAAGGCGACGAUCCGUAGCUGGUCUGAGAGGAUGAUCAGCCACACUGGAACUGAGACACGGUCCAGACUCCUACGGGAGGCAGCAGUGGGGAAUAUUGGACAAUGGGCGCAAGCCUGAUCCAGCCAUACCGCGUGGGCGAAGAAGGCCUUCGGGUUGUAAAGCCCUUUUGUUGGGAAAGAAAAGCAGCAGGUUAAUACCCCGCUGUUCUGACGGUACCCAAAGAAUAAGCACCGGCUAACUUCGUG